rnacentral:rRNA from 1 species
UAGGGAAUCUUCCGCAAUGGGCGAAAGCCUGACGGAGCAAUGCCGCGUGAGUGAAGAAGGCCUUCGGGUCGUAAAACUCUGUUAUAAGAGAAGAACAAAUUGUAGAGUAACUGCUACAGUCUUGACGGUAUCUUAUCAGAAAGCCACGGCUAACUACGUGCCAGCAGCCGCGGUAAUACGUAGGUGGCAAGCGUUGUCCGGAUUUAUUGGGCGUAACGGGAGCGCAGGUGGUUUCUUAAGUCUGAUGUGAAAGCCCACGGCUUAACCGUGGAGGGUCAUUGGAAACUGGGAAACUUGAGUACAGAAGAGGAAUGUGGAACUCCAUAUGUAGCGGUGAAAUGCGUAGAUAGAUGGAAGAACACCAGGGGCGAAGGCGACAUUCUGGUCUGUUACUGACACUGAGGCUCGAAAGCGUGGGGAGCAAACAGG